UGAUCCUUUAGAAUGGAUGUCGCCGCUCUUGUCGGUGUUUUGUGUCAAACCGCACACCCGGGGUUACCCUCGUGGUGCUUUUGGGUAGGUCGGUGUCGCAGAUCGUAACUCGAUGGUUCACGCUCUGGCAAGAGAGAGAGAAGCGGAUUUCAGCAGGUUCGGGCCACUUUGAAGAGCGUAAUACCCUCCUUCCUAGGAUGACUUUGUAUAUGGAUGAGAUUACAGUCGGUGAUUACUGGACUGAGGGGAUGCUAAUGAGAUAAAAAUAGAUGGGGUCCCCCUUGGCCUUAUAUACACAACCAUGGGCGUCUUCCCGCACAAGUAUCGAUCGCAGUCUUCCUACUUAUCUUCUAAUUAGUAGCAAACAUCUUUUACUAUCUCGAGGAAAAUCCGGCGUUUUCAUGCCGAGAUAUCCCCGUCGUUUUAGUUAGGAUGUCGGGCACGGGAACAAACAGACCCGACAUAUCCACGUCUAUGCCGCGACUAGCUUGGACGUGGGCCUCUUUCGCCUCUAGAUUGGCCUGCUUUCAUUGUCUUUGUUCGUCUGGCCCAUGAUGGGACGCUUGAGAGGGGCAACUGUCACGUGGCCCCGAGCGAAGUUUUCGCCCUUGUGUGGAUCCGAGGAUAUCCAUCUCCCACAGCUCUACCAUGACAAGAUAGGUGGAUUGGCAGGUGUUUUGGUUUCCUUCAAUAUUUCAAAGUCUAUAUCUCCUGCAUCAAAAUUUCUUUAUAAGAGAAGCACACCCAGUAAUGCAUAGUAGCAUUUUGGAUGGGCAUAUAGGCAUAUUGGUAACAGUAUAUAUAAUCACCUUUAGCGUUGAUCAAGCAUAGGUAUAUGUCAUCCAGUUUUGAUGAAGUAGCCCUCAUUUAUCAUGAACCAAACGCACACAAUUUGUAACAGUGGCAUAUUCAACUCUCAUAUUAUUGGAUGAUAUUGGAUGAGUAGGCUAUACAUAUCAAGUACUCCCUCCGUAUCAAAAAUAUUAGUCGUUUUAGCUCUUGAUUUUUAUGAAGAUAAACCUAGAUACAUAUAUAAAAUAUAUACAUCAAAUGUUGUAUGAAUAUAUUAAUUGGUGUUUAGGCUUUGUACCUUGUUUUUG
rnacentral:lncRNA from 1 species